rnacentral:sRNA from 1 species
GCCGCUGCCACUACGGGGCGGCGCCGGUUAAAAAAGCCGGACAAUCUUGUACCCAUGUUGCUUCAAGGAGGAUGUGGCUAUGAGAA